rnacentral:rRNA from 1 species
UGCCAGCAGCCGCGGUAAUACGGAGGGUGCGAGCGUUAAUCGGAAUUACUGGGCGUAAAGCGCGCGUAGGCGGUUUGUUAAGUCGGAUGUGAAAGCCCUGGGCUCAACCUGGGAACUGCAUUCGAUACUGGCUAACUAGAGUGCGAGAGAGGGAGGUAGAAUUCCAUGUGUAGCGGUGAAAUGCGUAGAUAUGUGGAGGAAUACCGGUGGCGAAGGCGCCACACUGGAACGGAUCCGACGGUCAGGGACGAAACCUAGGGGCACGAACCGGAUUAGAUA